rnacentral:rRNA from 1 species
UACGGAGGGUGCGAGCGUUGUCCGGAAUCACUGGGCGUAAAGGGCGCGUAGGCGGCUCGUGAAGUCAGUGGUGAAAGCCCAGGGCUCAACUCUGGGUCGGCCACUGAGACUCGCGAGCUCGAGUUUGGUAGAGGCAGAUGGAAUUCCGGGUGUAGCGGUGGAAUGCGUAGAGAUCCGGAAGAACACCGGUGGCGAAGGCGGUCUGCUGGGCCAAGACUGACGCUGAGGCGCGACAGCGUGGGGAGCAAACAGG